AGGCGGCUCGCACCAAUGCCAGAGGGGAAACGGGAGGUGGGGGGAGGAGGCGGAAGUCCAUGGCGUGCGGCACGCUGCCUUUGGGAAUGCGUCCGGGAGAGGCGGAAAAUUCGACUCGCUAGGGCGCUCCCUCCUUCCCCAGCACUACCAAGCAGUAGUGGGUGAAGCGCUUCAGGCAUAGAGCCUGCGGGUUGUCCGAGUCCCAGCAUGGCCGGCAAUGCUUUAUACCCUUUGCAGGUAGCGCAGGUGUUAGCUAUCAAAAAGUAUGGAAACUUGCCAAGUGCAAUUUCUGUCGACUGAGAAAAAGGAGACACCCUGAACACCUACUAAACAGUGUUUAAGUACCGCAAAUCUUGCCCUGAUAAGUCUGAGAUGUUCCUGUGACAACAUAAACGUCCACUACUCUUGGACCUCAAGAUUUCUGAAAUUCCUAAAUUAUAUUACUUUGUUUUAUCCAAUCUACUUCCAUCUAUGCUAGCAUGCAACAAAGAUCCUGCUCUCUGAGCCAGGGAAAUGGCAGCUUAGAUGAAAGCACCGGUAUCUAAGCCUCACGACCUGACUUCAUCCCCAGGACCCAUGUGAUGGGGGUAGGAAACCAACUCCUAUAAGUUGUUUUCCAGCCUGAGACAUGCUCAACAUAGCGCAUGCACCACCCCCAUAGAGAAUCAAAUACUUAAAGGUAACGCACGUGUUUUAAAUUGUUCUUUAUCAGCUCCGCACAGUAGCACACAGCUGUAAUCAAGUUACCCAAGAUUGGAUGAGAGCCUCAGCCAGGUAACCAGACCAACUAAGCUAAGCCACCCACCAAUAUUCAAUAAGUCGACUAUAGAGCUAAGUAGACUUGGACCAAAAGCAGCUGAGGUAUCUAUCUGGUGGUGGAACAAUAUGACUGCACACCGCAGUGGUGACCAGCUCCACUUUCUUGAGAGCCAUCUACAAGGACAAGAGAAGCAGCAGUCCCUGCUCUCCCAACCAACAACAGUGAGGUCUUCAUGCCUGCUCACCCAAGAGGAGAAGGUGGUGUCCAUUUACUAAGCCUGCCAGGGCAUGGAGUGACCUCUGCAGCCAAGUGAGCCAUGUGAAGGAGUCAGGAGGGGAGGGGCUCCAGCUCCAGCCUGAAAACCUUCAAACCUAGCUGAAGCUGCGAAACAUGUCAAGCGUUUCACAUUUGCCAAGCCCGUAAGUGCCUGCCCAGCCCCCACCCCCAUCUACAUGCAAUUUUAGUUUCCUCCCGAGGAUACAGGGAUACAGGGAGUGGAGUCUGCUCUAUCCAGCAGCAAAACCCAAAGCCAGCAAGACUGAUGCCCGAUGGCCUCCUUUCCUCUCCCAGAAUCCCAAACUGUCUGUCCGUGUUCCCGGGGGAGGAGGCUGAUCCGCACCAGCCUUAGUCUUUUUCCCUUAGCAAGCUCUACCUUGGACGGUGACUAACCUUGCUUUUGUCCCAGGGGUCAUGAUCCCAAAGCCCUCUGUUCUGUCUUGCCACUGAACGUCCCCAAUUUCCCUGUCCCUGGUCACUUCAGACGAACGAGGGAGAAGAGGAGCCUCAGUCUCUCUGGGUGUUUGUACUAGCUGGCUUUGUCCUUGAGAGAACCGGAAUGUAGCACAUAAGCGGACCCCCUCAGCAUCCAUUGGAGUACCCCACCCUGCCACUCAGUGGAAAAGGGGAAACCCUGUGUGGAUGAAAUUAUGAGUGGGUGUGUGUUGUUGACAAAGUGUCGGCCAAACUUCAGACCCAAGGGAAAAGUAUCCCAGCACUUGAGGCUCAGAGGGAUAGCAAAGUGUGACUGUUGGUAGUGAGUGCAGAAAAUGUCCUCUGGAGCUUUCUUCCCAUAGAUGUUUAAGGUCUGACGACUGCCAGUGCUGAUCCUGAAUGAGUAAACAGCUCUGGAAGCCUAUCUGUGUGGUUCUGGUGACUGGAGUUUGGGGGAGGGGAAUACAAGCAAGUGGAAGAGAGGGAGCCAGAGAAAGCAGAUUAAAGAAGCAAACAGGUCCUGUGACCCUUCCCCUUCCAAAGUGCAUCUUUCUGGAUCCGGACCUGAGGCUUAGGUUUAAAUAGAGGGGAAGCGGAAUGGAUGACUCAGCAGUUCUGGUUAGGAUGUAAUCCGGCUUAUCUAGACUUCAGUCUGUCCUGCAAGGUGGUCUGACAAGUUGGGAGAACUAGGUGAGAUUUUGUUUCCUGAUAGUCAAGUCUCAGCUCUGGCUGGCAUCAGGUUUCAGCUCUCCUCUCGGAGCAGGAGAUUGCCUGGAGGAAAUUCCAGUUCCUUGGGGACCAAUGUUGUAACUGUGUAAUAGUCAAAGGAAGGGGCACAAGCACUUCGAGUAUCUUCAUUCCUACCAGAAUGGUUACAAAUCUCCCCAACUAGGAGACAGAGACAGGGAGAGCAUAGCCAGAGAGAAGGACAUUUGGGACUGUCCACAGUGGUCAGGACCCUGAGCCAGGUGAGAAGUGGAGAGAACCAGGUACAGCAGCCUGGAGGCCCAAGAAAGAGUGGUGACAAAAUAUGACUGGAUUAUAUAGGGAUGGGAAGGUAGAGGGAGGGCAGCCCAACCCCUGGGCUGGAGAAGCUUAGGGAAGGGGGUGGAGCAUGCCAGCCUGGAGGGCCCUGUAAAAGAUAGGGACAGAGGGAUGCUGGGAGAACCUGUUUGGCCAGGUCCACUUUGAUAUGUUAAAAUAGGCACCUCAGCCUUUGUCCCCUGGUUUGAGACUUAACAGUGGCCAGACUGGUCUCCAAGUGACCCUGUCUCAAAAAGAAAAACUUAUCAUUUACAAAUGUUGGAGACAUGACUAUGUCACUUAAUAAAAAUCAAUCCAUUCAGAAAUACUCAUUAA